rnacentral:rRNA from 2 species
UGCAGUCGAGCGGACAGAUGGGAGCUUGCUCCCUGAUGUUAGCGGCGGACGGGUGAGUAACACGUGGGUAACCUGCCUGUAAGACUGGGAUAACUCCGGGAAACCGGGGCUAAUACCGGAUGGUUGUCUGAACCGCAUGGUUCAGACAUAAAAGGUGGCUUCGGCUACCACUUACAGAUGGACCCGCGGCGCAUUAGCUAGUUGGUGAGGUAACGGCUCACCAAGGCGACGAUGCGUAGCCGACCUGAGAGGGUGAUCGGCCACACUGGGACUGAGACACGGCCCAGACUCCUACGGGAGGCAGCAGUAGGGAAUCUUCCGCAAUGGACGAAAGUCUGACGGAGCAACGCCGCGUGAGUGAUGAAGGUUUUCGGAUCGUAAAGCUCUGUUGUUAGGGAAGAACAAGUGCCGUUCAAAUAGGGCGGCACCUUGACGGUACCUAACCAGAAAGCCACGGCUAACUACGUGCCAGCAGCCGCGGUAAUACGUAGGUGGCAAGCGUUGUCCGGAAUUAUUGGGCGUAAAGGGCUCGCAGGCGGUUUCUUAAGUCUGAUGUGAAAGCCCCCGGCUCAACCGGGGAGGGUCAUUGGAAACUGGGGAACUUGAGUGCAGAAGAGGAGAGUGGAAUUCCACGUGUAGCGGUGAAAUGCGUAGAGAUGUGGAGGAACACCAGUGGCGAAGGCGACUCUCUGGUCUGUAACUGACGCUGAGGAGCGAAAGCGUGGGGAGCGAACAGGAUUAGAUACCCUGGUAGUCCACGCCGUAAACGAUGAGUGCUAAGUGUUAGGGGGUUUCCGCCCCUUAGUGCUGCAGCUAACGCAUUAAGCACUCCGCCUGGGGAGUACGGUCGCAAGACUGAAACUCAAAGGAAUUGACGGGGGCCCGCACAAGCGGUGGAGCAUGUGGUUUAAUUCGAAGCAACGCGAAGAACCUUACCAGGUCUUGACAUCCUCUGACAAUCCUAGAGAUAGGACGUCCCCUUCGGGGGCAGAGUGACAGGUGGUGCAUGGUUGUCGUCAGCUCGUGUCGUGAGAUGUUGGGUUAAGUCCCGCAACGAGCGCAACCCUUGAUCUUAGUUGCCAGCAUUCAGUUGGGCACCCUAAGGUGACUGCCGGUGACAAACCGGA